rnacentral:rRNA from 1 species
UACCAGCACCCCGAGUGGUCGGGACGUUUAUUGGGCCUAAAGCAUCCGUAGCCGGUUCUACAAGUCUUCCGUUAAAUCCACCUGCUUAACAGAUGGGCUGCGGAAGAUACUAUAGAGCUAGGAGGCGGGAGAGGCAAGCGGUACUCGAUGGGUAGGGGUAAAAUCCGUUGAUCCAUUGAAGACCACCAGUGGCGAAGGCGGCUUGCCAGAACGCGCUCGACGGUGAUGGAUGAAAGCUGGGGGAGCAAACCGG